AGAGUUUGAUCCUGGCUCAGAGCGAACGCUGGCGGCAGGCUUAACACAUGCAAGUCGAGCGCCCCGCAAGGGGAGCGGCAGACGGGAGAGUAACACGUGGGAACAUACCCUUCAGUACGGAACAACCAAGGGAAACUUUGGCUAAUACCGUAUACGUCCGUAAGGAGAAAGAUUUAUCGCUGAAGGAUUGGCCCGCGUCU
rnacentral:rRNA from 1 species